rnacentral:rRNA from 1 species
UACGUAGGGUGCAGGCGUUAAUCGGAAUUACUGGGCGUAAAGCGUGCGCAGGCGGUUUGCUAAGACAGGUGUGAAAUCCCCGGGCUUAACCUGGGAACUGCGCUUGUUACUGGCAAGCUUGAGUGUGGCAGAGGGGGGUGGAAUUCCACGUGUAGCAGUGAAACGCGUAGAGAUGUGGAGGAACACCGAUGGCGAAGGCAGCCCCCUGGGCUAACACUGACGCUCAUGCACGAAAGCGUGGGGAGCAAACAGG